GGAGGUCACUUUCAUCGCCAUCUUGGUUUUGGUGGGUUUUGGACAGCUUCUUUACGCAUGCUGUUUUAUCAGCAAGGUCUUUGUGACCUGUAUCUUGUGCCGACCUCCUAUCUCAUCCUGUGACUAGGAAUGCCUUAACCUCCUGGAAUGCAGCUCAGAAAUUUGGGUGCAGACAGGCACACAGGGAGAACACCAUGUCAACACGAAGGCAGAAGUUGGAGUGAUGAGUCUACAAGCCAAGGAUUGCCAGCAAUUCAUCAGAGGCCAGGACAGCAGCCUGGGGCAGCCCCCUACAUGGUACCAACUCCAUCAACACCUUGAUCUCAGACUUCCAACCUCCAGAACUGUAUCACAGUCUGGAAGUCUGCUCACAGUCUCAAGGUUGGCAUAUCCCCUAGAGCCCCCAGACUCCUCAUCCCAUGGAGACCAACAUGGCCAGGGGAGGGCCAGAGCAGGGCCUUCUAAAUCACAGACCCCAGGGCAGGAGCCCCUCCGGUCUGGAUCUAAGGAUGGUAUUUUCAACAAUUCCUAAAUUUUUAUCCUAGGCUCUCCAAAUGGGAGUCUAAAGGUCUCAAAACAUGGUCCAGAAGAAGUAUGCAAAAAUGUAAAUUCCUAGGCCCCAACCCAGACCUAUGAAUCAGAUGAUCUGUAUGGGGGUUCAAGGAAUCUAUAUUAUUAAACAAUCUUCCUAAA
rnacentral:lncRNA from 1 species